rnacentral:rRNA from 1 species
AUUCCAGCUCCAAGAGCGUAUAUUAAAGUUGCUGCGGUUAAAAAGCUCGUAGUUGGAUUUCAGUCUAGGAAGGUUAACUCGCCGAAAGGUUGUACGUUGAUUUUCCUCAGACUUCGUCAGAAGCUCGUGCUGCACUUAACUGUGUGGUACGAUGUUCUGACCUUUUACCUUGAGGAAAGUAGAGUGUUUCAGGCAGGCUACCCAGCUUGAAUACAUUAGCAUGGAAUAAUGAAAUGGAUCUCGGUUCGAUUUCGUUGGUUCUAGAGCUGAGGUGAUGAUCAAUAGGAACAGGCGAAGGUAUUCGUACUUGAGAGUGAGGAGUGAAAUCCGAUGAUCUCAUAAAGACGAUCCGAGGCGAAAGCAUUUGUCAAGGAUGUUUUCAUCA